rnacentral:rRNA from 1 species
GCGAUUUCCGAAUGGGGAAACCCAGUGUGAUUCGUCACACUAUCAUUAACUGAAUCCAUAGGUUAAUGAGGCGAACCGGGGGAACUGAAACAUCUAAGUACCCCGAGGAAAAGAAAUCAACCGAGAUUCCCCCAGUAGCGGCGAGCGAACGGGGAGGAGCCCAGAGCCUGAAUCAGCAUGUGUGUUAGUGGAAGCGUCUGGAAAGGCGCGCGAUACAGGGUGACAGCCCCGUACACAAAAGCGCAUGUGCUGUGAGCUCGAUGAGUAGGGCGGGACACGUGGUAUCCUGUCUGAAUAUGGGGGGACCAUCCUCCAAGGCUAAAUACUCCUGACUGACCGAUAGUGAACCAGUACCGUGAGGGAAAGGCGAAAAGAACCCCGGCGAGGGGAGUGAAAAAGAACCUGAAACCGU